UACGAAGGGGGCUAGCGUUACUCGGAAUUACUGGGCGUAAAGGGCGCGUAGGCGGCUCUGUAAGUCAGGCGUGAAAUUCCUGGGCUCAACCUGGGGGCUGCGCUUGAGACUGUGGGGCUAGAGGAUGGAAGAGGGUCGUGGAAUUCCCAGUGUAGAGGUGAAAUUCGUAGAUAUUGGGAAGAACACCGGUGGCGAAGGCGGCGACCUGGUCCAUUACUGACGCUGAGGCGCGACAGCGUGGGGAGCAAACAGGAUUAGAUACCCUGGUAGUCCACGCCGUAAACGAUGUGCGCUGGAUGUUGGGGCCCUUAGGGUCUCAGUGUCGUAGCUAACGCGGUAAGCGCACCGCCUGGGGAGUACGGCCGCAAGGUUG
rnacentral:rRNA from 1 species